rnacentral:ncRNA from 1 species
UCUUAUCAAGAGUGGCGGAGGGAUUAGGCCCGAUGAUGCCCGGCAACCAUUCAAGCAGCUGCUUGAAAAGGUGCUAAUUCCUACAGAAACCAUGUUCUGAAAGAUAAGA